AAAGUCGUAACAAGGUUUCCGUAGGUGAACCUGCGGAAGGAUCAUUACUGAGACUGGGUGCUUCGGCGCCCGACCUCCAACCCCCUGUCUACCUUACCACUGUUGCCUCGGCGUCUCUGCCCACUUCCCCUCGUGGGUGGUGGGGGGUGCGCGCCGGCGGCCAAAAACAAAAACCCUUUUUUAAACCAAGCAAUCUGAGAAAUUAUUUUAAUAACUUCAAAACUUUCAACAACGGAUCUCUUGGUUCUG
rnacentral:misc_RNA from 1 species